GAUGAAGAACGUAGCGAAAUGCGAUAAGUAAUGUGAAUUGCAGAAUUCAGUGAAUCAUCGAAUCUUUGAACGCACAUUGCGCCCGCUAGUAUUCUGGCGGGCAUGCCUGUCCGAGCGUCAUUUCAACACUCAAGCCCCCGGGCUUGGUGUUGGGGAUCGGCGAGCCUCCGCGCCCGCCGUCCCCUAAAUCUAGUGGCGGUCUCGCUGUAGCUUCCUCUGCGUAGUAGCACACCUCGCACUGGGAAACAGCGCGGCCACGCCGUUAAACCCCCAACUUCUGAACGUUUGACCUCGGAUCAGGUAGGAAUACCCGCUGAACUUAAGCAUAUCAAUAAGCGGAGGA
rnacentral:misc_RNA from 1 species